rnacentral:ncRNA from 1 species
AAAUAAACUUUUACCAUUUGAAGAAUUUAUUUUAAAUUCAAAUUAUAUAUAAAUUUUAGUGUUAAUUUUUCCUUAUUUUAAUAAUAAUAAUAUAAAGUAGUAAUUAAAAUUAAAAAUUUAAGAAAUUAAGAUUUAGGGAUAUUAAAAUUAAUAACCAAUUUUGUGCCAGCAGUUGCGGUUAUACAAAAAUUAAAAUAAAUUUUAUUAGUUAAAAUAAACAAUUGAUUUAAAUAAAUUAAAUUUAAGAUUAUUAAGUGAAAUUUUAAUUUAAUUAAAAUUUAUUUUUGUGAAUUUUAAAAUUUUGUAAAAAACUAGGAUUAGAUACCCUAUUAUUAAAAAAAUAAAAUAAAUUAAGCUGAAAUAGUAUAUUAAUUAUUGAAACUUAAGUAAUUUGGCGGUAUUUUAGUUCAUUUAGAGGAAUCUGUUUAAUAAUUGAUAGUCCACGAUUAAAUUUACUUAAUUUUUAAUUUUAUAUAUCGUUGUUAAAAAAAUAUUUAGUAAUAAUAAUAAUAUUUAAAAAUUAAAAUAAAGAUUAAUUCAGAUCAAGAUGUAGAUUAUAAUUAAGAAUAUAAUGGAUUACAAUAAUAAAAAAUUAAAUGAAUAUGAUUUUGAAAAAGAUCAUUGAAGGUGGAUUUAAAUGUAAUUUUAUUUAAUUUAAUAAAAUGAUUAAAAAUUAAAAUAUGUACAUAUUGCCCGUCACUUUCAUUUAAAAAUUGGAAUAAGUCGUAACAAAGUAGAGGUACUGGAAAGUGUUUCUAGAAAGA